AGCGAACGCUGGCGGCAGGCCUAACACAUGCAAGUCGAACGAAGUCUUCGGACUUAGUGGCGGACGGGUGAGUAACACGUGGGAACGUACCUUUUGGUUCGGAGCAACUCAGGGAAACUUGAGCUAAUACCGGAUGAGCCCUUAGGGGGAGAGAUUUAUCGCCGAAAGAGCGGCCCGCGUUAGAUUAGCUAGUUGGUGAGGUAAAGGCUCACCAAGGCUACGAUCUAUAGCUGGUCUGAGAGGAUGAUCAGCCACACUGGGACUGAGACACGGCCCAGACUCCUACGGGAGGCAGCAGUGGGGAAUCUUGCGCAAUGGGCGAAAGCCUGACGCAGCCAUGCCGCGUGAAUGAUGAAGGUCUUAGGAUUGUAAAAUUCUUUUACCAGGGACGAUAAUGACGGUACCUGGAGAAAAAGCCCCGGCUGACUUCGUGCCAGCCGCCGCCGUAACAC
rnacentral:rRNA from 1 species